GUGGGGAAUAUUGGACAAUGGGCGCAAGCCUGAUCCAGCAACGCCGCGUGAGGGAUGACGGCCUUCGGGUUGUAAACCUCUUUCAGCAGGGACGAAGCGAAAGUGACGGUACCUGCAGAAGAAGGACCGGCCAACUACGUGCCAGCAGCCGCGGUAAUACGUAGGGUCCGAGCGUUGUCCGGAAUUAUUGGGCGUAAAGGGCUCGUAGGCGGUCUGUCGCGUCGGGAGUGAAAACUCAGGGCUCAACCCUGAGCGUGCUUCCGAUACGGGCAGACUAGAGGUAUGCAGGGGAGAACGGAAUUCCUGGUGUAGCGGUGGAAUGCGCAGAUAUCAGGAGGAACACCGGUGGCGAAGGCGGUUCUCUGGGCAUUACCUGACGCUGAGGAGUGAAAGCAUGGGGAGCGAACAGGAUUAGAAACCCCGGUAGUCC
rnacentral:rRNA from 1 species